UACAGAGGGUGCAAGCGUUGUUCGGAAUUAUUGGGCGUAAAGCGCGUGUAGGCGGCUUGGCAAGUCGGGUGUGAAAUCCCUCAGCUUAACUGAGGAAGUGCGCCCGAAACUGCUGUGCUUGAGUACUGGAGAGGGUGGCGGAAUUCCCCAUGUAGAGGUGAAAUUCGUAGAUAUGGGGAGGAACACCGGUGGCGAAGGCGGCCACCUGGCCAGAUACUGACGCUGAGACGCGAAAGCGUGGGUAGCAAACAGG
rnacentral:rRNA from 1 species